CUCCCUCUGGUGUCUCCUUGCCUCGCCGCUGUCCCUAUCCCCGGAUCGAAGCCACCCAGCCUCCGAUCGGUGACCCGACCGGAAAACCCACUUUCCGGCAUCCCCUCGGCCGAUCCUUCCCAUUUUCGUGAUCUCCUCCUCCCCCUGAUCAUCCCCAUGAUCUGAUCAGACGCACCAGAUUAAUCCAAACUUCAAAGCUUGAUCUAGGACGAUCUAGGCCGAACCAGACUUAGCUCCAGGUACUUGACGGUUUGAGUUGACGAGCGUUCGGAAUAUUGAUAUAUUCGACUU